rnacentral:pre_miRNA from 1 species
UGGACAGAUUAUUGUAUUCGACUGUAUUCACGGCGUAAAAUAGGGGACUACACUGUUUUUAAAACGGAAAGUGAAUCAAUUAACACAAUAGACUCCU